UAAAUUUGCUCUCAGUUCAGGCUGCAUCGUUGGGUCCCGCCCCUUCUUCCCGCUGGGUUCCACUACCUGCAAGGCUGGAAUUGACAGCUACUGUGCAAACAAAAAAAGGCAACAAGCAUGCUGGGACCUUUCUGUCUGCUGUUUGGGUCUCACUUGUCCUGACAACAAAAAUCAUCAGUGGAAAGGGCCCAAUUUAGGAUGAAACAGCAUUUCCAGGAGCAGAAAAAUCAGUGGAUGGAGAUGCAGCAUGAUGGGGCUUAAAUCCUCUCAAAAUGGUACAUAUUACCUUCAACCAUAUUAAAUUGGACAAAACCAGUCACAUGGCCAAAUAUGACUCCAUGAGGUUUUGAGAAAAAGGAGAGAAGAUGAAAACA